rnacentral:rRNA from 1 species
CCCUAUUAUUUAAGAGCUGAAUAUUGUUAGUAUAUAAAGAUUAUGAAAGCAAAAAGUUAUGGCGGUAUUUUAAGCUUUUCAGAGGAAUUUGCUCUUUAAUGGAUAAAACACCAAAAUCUUACUUAAAUUUGUCAAAUCAACUUGUAUACCACUAUUAAAACAAUUAUUAACUCUAAUUGUUAAUAUUUAAAGUUUUAUAAUUAAUUAAAAUUAAGUCAAGGUGCAGUAAAAAUUUAAGAAUGAAGUGAAUUACAUUACUUUUAAGGGAAAUAAAAUUAAAUAAAAAUUAGGAUUUGAAAGUAAAAUUAAAAUAGAAUGUUAAUUUGAAUUAAGCUCUAAAAUAUGUACAUAUCGCCCGUCACUCUUUUUUAA